rnacentral:rRNA from 1 species
GACGAACGCUGGCGGCGUGCUUAACACAUGCAAGUCGAACGGAAAGGCCCUGCUUUUGUGGGGUGCUCGAGUGGCGAACGGGUGAGUAACACGUGAGUAACCUGCCCUUGACUUUGGGAUAACUUCAGGAAACUGGGGCUAAUACCGGAUAGGAGCUCCUGCUGCAUGGUGGGGGUUGGAAAGUUUCGGCGGUUGGGGAUGGACUCGCGGCUUAUCAGCUUGUUGGUGGGGUAGUGGCUUACCAAGGCUUUGACGGGUAGCCGGCCUGAGAGGGUGACCGGCCACAUUGGGACUGAGAUACGGCCCAGACUCAUACGGGAGGCAGCAGUGGGGAAUAUUGCACAAUGGGCGGAAGCCUGAUGCAGCAACGCCGCGUGCGGGAUGACGGCCUUCGGGUUGUAAACCGCUUUCGCCUGUGACGAAGCGUGAGUGACGGUAAUGGGUAGAGAAGCACCGGCUAACUACGUG